rnacentral:rRNA from 1 species
UACGGGGGGGGCAAGCGUUGUUCGGAAUUACUGGGCGUAAAGGGUUCGUAGGUGGCCGACUAAGUCAGACGUGAAAUCCCUCAGCUCAACUGGGGAACUGCGUCUGAGACUGGCCGGCUUAAGUGCAGGAGAGGAACGCGGAAUUCCAGGUGUAGCGGUGAAAUGCGUAGAUAUCUGGAGGAACACCGGUGGCGAAGGCGGCGUUCUGGACUGCUACUGACACUGAGGAACGAAAGCCAGGGGAGCAAACGGG